rnacentral:lncRNA from 1 species
CCGGCAGGGAGGAGGUCACCAAAAAUCUCCAAAUCCACUGGAAAAAAAACCAAGGUGUCCAGCUCAAGUUCGAAAUCGCCCUGCACACAUCGCAACGAAGAACUCCAACUCAAAUUCUGUCCGAAACACAGCAGCAGAGGAGAACAUAAUUUCGACCUAGCUAACCUUCACCAAAUCCAGAAACUAAGGGUUUCGUGGAUUCCUCUCGAAGUCCUGAAUCCAACGAACCAAGUCCCGUCGAAAUCCGACGCUCCUACACCGAGUACGAGCCGAAGCGCCAACGGUCGACGCUGGAAAUCUGCAGGGACAGCACCUAGCUCGAAUUUGAAGAAGCUUGGAAAUAAAGAAGCAAUUUGACGGCACACCCACCUCGACAGCGACCCUAGUAUCUGUGCGACGUCGAGGACGGCGAUAACACACCCUCGAUCGGCCUCCUCGCGAUGCUACGGCGACAAACGUAGGCUCGAACGGCUCGGCGACGCGACAUCGACGGCGAAUCCGAGCUUCGCGGCUACCUCUACGCGGCUCCUCCGCUUCGGCUCUCCACUCCACACGAAAGAGAGAAAGAAAAAUAUAAUUAGAGAGGUGUAGGCUGCAUCUCUCAAUUAAUUGAAUGGAUAACCAUGCAUGGGGGCACGUGGCAUCCACACACACACACAUAUAUAUAUAAAGGAUACUACAUCCUCCCCCACUACAACAAGUUUCGUUCUCGAAACUAAAACGUACCUCAGCUCAGGCAUCAAACAGAUAGGGAUAGGCCUCCCUCAUCACCAUCUCAGGCUCCCAAGUCGCCUCCCGCUCCUCGUGAUUGCUCCACUGC